UACGAGGGGUGCAAGCGUUAUUCGGAAUAACUGGGCGUAAAGGGUGUGUAGACGGCUUGUUAAGUUCGUUGUUAAAUCUUCCGGCCUAACCGGAAAACUGCAAUGAAAACUGGCAUGCUAGAGGAUGAGAGAGAGGAGUGGAAUUCCCGGAGUAGCGGUAAAAUGCGUAGAUCUCGGGAGGAACACCAAUGGCGAAGGCAGCUCCUUGGCUCAUUUCUGACGUUGAGACACGAAAGCGUGGGUAGCAAACAGG
rnacentral:rRNA from 1 species